GCUGUGGCUCAGUGGUAGUGCACAUGCCUGGGGCAUGUGUGAGGCACUGGGUUCGAUUCUCAGCACUGCA
rnacentral:tRNA from 1 species